rnacentral:rRNA from 1 species
UACAUAGGGUGCAAGCGUUGUCCGGAAUUAUUGGGCGUAAAGAGCUCGUAGGUCGUUUGCCGCGUCGAUUGUGAAAAUCUGAGGCUCAACCUCAGACCUGCAGUCGAUACGGGCAAACUAGAGUGUGGUAGGGGAGACUGGAAUUCCUGGUGUAGCGGUGGAAUGCGCAGAUAUCAGGAGGAACACCAAUGGCGAAGGCAGGUCUCUGGGCCAUAACUGACACUGAGGAGCGAAAGCGCGGGGAGCGAACAGGAUUAGAUACCCUGGUAGUCCGCGCCGUAAACGAUGGGCACUAGCUGUGAGAGCCUUCCACGGUUCUCGCGACGCAGCAAACGCAUUAAGUGCCCCGCCUGGGGAGUACGAUCGCAAGAUUAAAACUCAAAGGAAUUGACGGGGCCCCGCACAAGCAGCGGAGCAUGCGGCUUAAUUCGACGCAACGCGAAGAACCUUACCAAGGCUUGACAUAUAGCGAAAAGUGGCAGAGAUGUCAUGUCCGCAAGGGCGCUAUACAGGUGGUGCAUGGUUGUCGUCAGCUCGUGUCGUGAGAUGUUGGGUUAAGUCCCGCAACGAGCAUAACCCUCGUUCUGUGUUGCCAGCAUUCAGUUGGGGACUCACAGGGGACUGCCGGGGUCAACUCGGAGGAAGGUGGGGAUGACGUCAAAUCAUCAUGCCCCUUAUGUCUUGGGCUGCACGCAUGCUGCAAUGGCCGGUACAAAGUGCUGCGAAAUCGUAAGAUUUAGCGAAUCACAUAAAGCCGGUCUCAGUUCGGAUUGAGGUCUGCAACUCGACCUCAUGAGGUCGGAGUUGCUAGUAAUCGUAGAUCAGCAACGCUACGGUGAAUACGUUCCCGGGGCU